rnacentral:miRNA from 1 species
CUUCCAAAGUUUGCAAAUUUUGUAUACUUUUGUAUUGCAUGCGAAAAUUGCAAUACAAAAGUAUACAAAAUUUGCAAACUUUGGAAGGCUAU